rnacentral:rRNA from 1 species
GGGGCAAGGGAGACAGGUGGUGCAUGGUUGUCGUCAGCUCGUGUCGUGAGAUGUUGGGUUAAGUCCCGCAACGAGCGCAACCCUUAUCCUUAGUUGCCAGCAGGUUAAGCUGGGCACUCUAAGGAGACUGCCGGUGAUAAACCGGAGGAAGGUGGGGAUGACGUCAAAUCAUCAUGCCCCUUAUAUCUUGGGCUACACACGUGCUACAAUGGUCGGUACAAAGGGAAGCGAAAGAGUGAUCUGGAGCAAAUCUUCAUAAACCGAUCCCAGUUCGGAUUGUAGGCUGCAACUCGCCUACAUGAAGUUGGAGUUGCUAGUAAUCGCGAAUCAGAACGUCGCGGUGAAUGCGUUCCCGGGUCUUGUACACACCGCCCGUCACACCAUGGAAGUUGGUAAUACCCAAAGUCGCUGAGCUAACCGCAAGGAGGCAGGCGCCUAAGGUAGGAUCAAUGACUGGGGUGAAGUCGUAACAAGGUAGCCGUAUCGGAAGGUGCGGCUGGAUCACCUCCUUUAUG